AGUCGUAACAAGGUCUCCGUAGGUGAACCUGCGGAGGGAUCAUUACACAAAUAUGAAGGCGGGCUGGAACCUCUCGGGGUUACAGCCUUGCUGAAUUAUUCACCCUUGUCUUUUGCGUACUUCUUGUUUCCUUGGUGGGUUCGCCCACCACUAGGACAAACAUAAACCUUUUGUAAUUGCAAUCAGCGUCAGUAACAAAUUAAUAAUUACAACUUUCAACAACGGAUCUCUUGGUUCUGGCAUCGAUGAAGAACGCAGCGAAAUGCGAUAAGUAGUGUGAAUUGCAGAAUUCAGUGAAUCAUCGAAUCUUUGAACGCACAUUGCGCCCUUUGGUAUUCCAAAGGGCAUGCCUGUUCGAGCGUCAUUUGUACCCUCAAGCUUUGCUUGGUGUUGGGCGUCUUGUCUCUAGCUUUGCUGGAGACUCGCCUUAAAGUAAUUGGCAGCCGGCCUACUGGUUUCGGAGCGCAGCACAAGUCGCACUCUCUAUCAGCAAAGGUCUAGCAUCCAUUAAGCCUUUUUUUUCAACUUUUGACCUCGGAUCAGGUAGGGAUACCCGCUGAACUUAAGCAUAUCAAUAAAGUCG
rnacentral:rRNA from 1 species